rnacentral:lncRNA from 1 species
GUCUCUGAUCAGCUUCUGCUCCAGGAAGUCCUGUGCCCCUGCACCUCGGCUCCCUAUGCCUCUUUGGGCCUAGCUUAUGCCUGCUGCUCCCGUGGAUUCUUUCUCUUUCUUGAUGGCCCUUUACUUAACUCUGUAAUUGCAUCUCCACCUCUGUAAGGCUCUGGGAGAAAAUGCUGCUCAGAACAGGAUGGUGCUGAGCAUCCCAAAAGCCCUCAUCCCUGGGGAGAUUGCCUCUGAAGAGCACAGAACAUUUCAAUCAAGGCCAGUUCAGCAAAAUGUCUCUGGCCAAUCUUCCCAGUGGAUUGAGGCCACGGACAGCCACCUCUUCGGGUCUCUGGCAAAGUCCCUUCCCAGGAGAGGAGAUGGAACAAGGCAUUUCAGCUUCAUUUACACUUAAUUCGUCAAAAUGUCAUUGCUGUGUACUGCUUGCUGAGCAACAGUUUCAUCUGGCCUUGAGGACUGAAGCACCUGCUGCAGUACAGAGCCACGAGUGGCUGUUGCUCUAACACUCUGUCUGACGUGUGUUUGUUCCCAUUCUGCCGGGUAAUCUCUACCCUUUCCUCAUGCUUCCUUGGAAUUACACUCUUGGAAAUUAGCAGUAA